GCCACCUGGCUAAAGUCAGACUCCAGCUGCAUUAGGAAGCCUUAGCUUCCAUCAUGUUAUAGCUUACUUCUUUGGUUUACUUCUGAGCUGUAAAACCCUGAAGUGAGCCAGUGCAGGCCUGUGGCAUCUCCCUCUUGUCCCUCCCAUGCAGGGGGUCAGUGUUAGCUGAGGAGAUUUGUAGGAGAGGAAAGGAGCCUGAGCUACACCACUCUGAGUCCCACCUGAGUGUUAUUCAGACAGGGACAACUCCCACCUGGAGAAAGGUGUAUAAUGAAUAAAAGAGGGUGACAUUUUGAGGCCUUUGGAACUCCUCCAGUCUCUGUCUACACUUCCCUACUUCACCUGUUUUCUGAAAUAAAUGAAAGCUCCAGAGCCAGCUGCAUGUCUGAGAGGGGGUGUCAGCUGCACACCAGAGCAGAGCUGGGAGAUCUGCAGUCUCUUGGAUCAGAAAAUGCAGGAAUAUCCUUCUCGCUGAUCCCUUUGUGUAUUAUAAUGGGAUUCUCUAGAGCACAUGCUCUACCUGUUCACUCCUGGAAUCAUUGGGGAAAUAAGCAAACAUCUGUUGACAUGGGAAGUGAAAACUCCAAGAAAGCCCUUUCCCUCUGCAGAAAAGGUCACUCAUGCCCUGUGCUCCUUUGGCCACGCCUAGGACUGACAAACAUUGCUGCUGGGUUUGUUGUUGCUGUCAUUUCUGUUUGUGAUUUGAAUUCAAAGGUCAAAUUUGAUUUAAAUAACUCAUGGCCACUUGUAAUCAAAGCUAAUGAGCAAGUAAAUAAUUCAAUAAUUAAAAAAAAACCUCUUUGCCAAUAAGUCACUUUGCAUUUGUCCAGCCAGGGAUGAUAUUGGAAAUCUAAACAAAACAAGUCAAAACACGUGUGCAAGCACACUGAGUGGGACUCACAUGGGAGCAGAGACCAUCUGGAAUCACAGUUGUUCUCACAGCCAGAAGAGGCAGAAAGAUGCUGUCAAACAGGAGAGGUGCACAAGCGAGCCAUGGGAAGUUCCUGGGGCAGUGUGGAGGUGGCUUCUGAGCUUUUCCAUCUUGUGACCAACCUCUGCCCUUUGAUCUCUGUGCUGCAUGAGUUUUGUUCCAACUCACAGGUGCCAGGC